rnacentral:rRNA from 1 species
AUACGGAGGGUGCAAGCGUUAAUCGGAAUUACUGGGCGUAAAGCGCGCGUAGGCGGUUUAGUCAGUCAGAUGUGAAAGCCCCGGGCUCAACCUGGGAACUGCAUUUGAUACUGCUGAACUAGAGUAUGGUAGAGGGAAGUGGAAUUCCGGGUGUAGCGGUGAAAUGCGUAGAUAUCCGGAGGAACACCAGUGGCGAAGGCGACUUCCUGGACCAAUACUGACGCUGAGGUGCGAAAGCGUGGGUAGCAAACAGGAUUAGAUACCCCUGUAGUCC